rnacentral:rRNA from 1 species
CGUCCUAUUAGCUAGUUGGUGAGGUAAUGGCUCACCAAGGCUACGAUGGGUAGGGGUUCUUAGUGGAAGGUCCCCCACACUGGCACUGAGAUACGGGCCAGACUCCUACGGGAGGCAGCAGUAGGGAAUAUUGGUCAAUGGGCGCAAGCCUGAACCAGCCAUGCCGCGUGCAGGAUAAAGGCUCUCUGAGUUGUAAACUGCUUUUGUACAGGAGCAAAAAAAUCCCUGCGGGGGUUCUUGAGAGUACUGUAAGAAUAAGCACCGGCUAAUUCCGUGCCAGCAGCCGCGGUAAUACGGGAGGUGCAAGCGUUAUCCGGUUUUAUUGGGUUUAAAGGGUGCGUAGGCGGCUUAUUAAGUCAGUUGUGAAAUCCUAGUGCUUAACGCUAGAACUGCGAUUGAUACUAUU